rnacentral:tRNA from 1 species
UGAGUUGUCGCCAAGUGGUAAGGCACCGGAUUCUGAUUCCGGCAUUCGAAGGUUCGAAUCCUUCCAGCUCAGCUA